AUUCACCUGUUAGCUCAUCCAGGAGACCCAGAGCUUCCAGGGAACUCUACUUCCUUAGAACAGAGGUAGUAGGUAAAGUAAUGCAAAGGGCAAGUGCUGGAACAAAAAAUUUGAAGACAGCAGUUUUAUUUACCUCCUAGGAAAAUGACUUUUCGUUUGAUAAUAACCAUUUGUUAUGGACCAUGAAGAACUCACGAAAAUGCAAGCUAUUUCAAGAUCUUAUUGUGUAGUCACAAUAGGCUUUGGUCCUUAAAGUGUCCAAAGCAGACCUAUUCCUCUUGUAGCCAACACAGGACUGCCAAAACAGGGCUCCACUGAAGGGUUUGCUCUCAGCUUCGGAAACAGGUUCUGAAAAGUUUCAUAAAAGGGAGGGGGAAUAUCCCUCUUUCUACUUUCUGGAAUGUGGACGUGAUGACUGAAGUUCAAGCAAGUUUUAUCAUCAAUGAGGUACUUGGACACAUGGCAGAAGUUUGAAGUUUGUGGCUACAGGAACAAUCCUCCAAUGUUGCUAAGAGUGAUAUUAACAGGCUCAUAGCACAUGAAAAGAGUGAAUGUGGAAACCACACUAUAAAGAUGGUGGAGCCUGAGAUUGAAGGAUUCUGGGUCUCUGAAUCAUUGCUUACAGAAAAAUUACUCUGAGAUCAAGAACAGCUGCUUUAAACUUUAUAUGGAGGAGAGCAAUGUGAUGUUGAACUGCCCCAGGGGCUCCAGAACUGCUGGUAGAGUUAUACUUCUGAAGAACUAGACCCCAAACCAAUUUUUCUCAGAUUUCCAGAUGAUAAAACUAUUAGCAUUAUUUUUUUCAUUUUUUUUGUGAGUCACAAUGGGUGUCAAUUUUCUAACCCUUUUUAUUUCUAUUUUCUUCCUGCUCUUUCCUGAAAUUUUUCACACAGAUAAUAGCUAGGCAAAGAAAGUCCAGAUAAUUUUCCCCUUGCCUACUGUAUGUAGGACAAAAAAUUGUCAUAUAUUUCUUAGAGAAAGGGAACAUUUGGUAUAAUUAAAUAAGGAAUCCAAGGUAAUAGAGCAUUAAAAAUAUUUCCCUUUUUAAUCUAAAUUGCUAUCCUAGAAGGAAGAAGAUAACAUUUUCACAAUGCGGAUGAAUAAUUGCAGUGUUGAAAGUGGUAUUUGUUGCUGGUAUUAUUGCAUUGGCAAAGUGUCUGCCUAUCAUUGAAAAUUUUAUCUAAUUAAACAUAUUAGCAGUGGUAAGAGAAAUCAUUUUAUUUCAAGUACCACUUUGCAACUAGGAAAACAAAAAAGGAAAAAUUACAAAUGAUGUGCCUGUAACAAAGUAUGCCAGGGAAGAACAAGAAACUGAAUUCAAAUCGUGGCUUCUAGGUCCUUCUGCUUUUUGAUGACUAUAUUUACCAAAGAUUUUUACCCUGAAUUUUCCUACAAUAAAGAAUAAUGGCAUAAAAUUUGGCAC